AAGUCAGAUGUGAAAGACCCGGGGCGUCAACCUCGGAAUUGCAUUUGAAACUAGGCAGACUAGAGUACUGUAGAGGGGGGUAGGAAUUUCAGGUGUAGCGGUGAAAUGCGUAGAGAUCUGAAGGAAUACCGGUGGCGAAGGCGGCCCCCUCGGACAGAUACUGACACUCAGAUGCGAAAGCGUGGGGAGCAAACAGGAUUAGAUACCCUGGUAG
rnacentral:rRNA from 1 species